AGCAUUUGCACUACCUGGACAACCAUUACGUCAGUAGUUAGGAGAGAAGUGUCAUAAUUACUUCAAGAGAUGAUGUCUGAAACAAAUGCCCUGGCCCAGUCAGACCUGGGGCUUUGCACUAGCUGGCUGGUCCUGGGACUUUCAAGAGUCAUGUAACCCUUUGAAUCAUUAACCCCUCUAAAAUUCAGCUGUCCAAAGAUACAACAAAAUGCCAGUUUCAAUAGUUUAUUAUGAGAAACCCAAAGAUAUUGCAAUGAUGGAAUUGUGCAUGUACGGUAUAAACGUGCUGGCUGCUUAGAUGUGAACAAAAAGUCAAGAAGAAUUCAAACAUAGAG
rnacentral:lncRNA from 1 species